rnacentral:rRNA from 1 species
AUCGGAUUUACUGGGCGUAAAGCGUGCGUAGGCGGCUUCUUAAGUCGGGAUGUGAAAUCCCUGAGCUUAACUUAGGAAUUGCAUUCGAUACUGGGAAGCUAGAGUAUGGGAGAGGAUGGUAGAAUUCCAGGUGUAGCGGUGAAAUGCGUAGAGAUCUGGAGGAAUACCGAUGGCGAAGGCAGCCAUCUGGCCUAAUACUGACGCUGAGGUACGAAAGCAUGGGGAACAAACAGGAUUAGAUACCCUGGUAGUCCAUGCCGUAAACGAUGUCUACUAGCCGUUGGGGCCUUUGAGGCUUUAGUGGCGCAGCUAACGCGAUAAGUAGACCGCCUGGGGAGUACGGUCGCAAGACUAAAACUCAAAUGAAUUGACGGGGGCCCGCACAAGCGGUGGAGCAUGUGGUUUAAUUCGAUGCAACGCGAAGAACCUUACCUGGUCUUGACAUAGUAAGAACUUUCCAGAGAUGGAUUGGUGCCUUCGGGAACUUACAUACAGGUGCUGCAUGGCUGUCGUCAGCUCGUGUCGUGAGAUGUUGGGUUAAGUCCCGCAACGAGCGCAACCCUUUUCCUUAUUUGCCAGCGAGUAAUGUCGGGAACUUUAAGGAUACUGCCAGUGACAAACUGGAGGAAGGCGGGGACGACGUCAAGUCAUCAUGGCCCUUACGACCAGGGCUACACACGUGCUACAAUGGUCGGUACAAAGGGUUGCUACCUAGCGAUAGGAUGCUAAUCUCAAAAAGCCGAUCGUAGUCCGGAUUGGAGUCUGCAACUCGACUCCAUGAAGUCGGAAUCGCUAGCAAUCGCGGAUCAGAAUGCCGCGGUGAAUACGUUCCCGGGCCUUGUACACACCGCCCANCAAUAC